GUAUUGCUGUAAUGUGUUGAAAUCAUUUACUUUGCAGGUGUGGUUCAGUGCUCUGGCUGUCAACUUAUUUGCCAUUGAAGAUUGCCGGAGUAGGAUGUUGUUAACCCAGGUGUGUUGACUGUUGCUUCAGUUGCUGACAUUGACCUAAGAUGAGAGAUGAUGGCUGUUAUAACUUUCUCUAACUGGACACAGAUACCAUAGGAGGUGACAUGAUGUACCAUCUUCCUGAGGCAGUGGACCAGAAGGUAUGACACUGUAGACACUGGGAAGAAUACUUUACUACCAUCACCAAGUGGCAUCAUCAACAUAACCAGCCAACUGAAGUUAACCUGAGAUGGACACAAACUUCACCUGCUGCUGUAUGGUGACAUGAUGUACCAUCUUCCUGAGGCAGUGGACCAGAAGGUAUGACACUGUAGACACUGGGAAGAAUACUUUACUAUCAUCACCAAGUGGCAUCAUCAACAUAACCAGCCAACUGAAGUUAACCUGAGAUGGACACAAACUUCACCUGCUGCUGGUCAAGCUUUACUUUGCCUGAACCCAACCAUGAAGAGAGUCAUCUAUUAACGCCAUCUGACCCCACCAUAAAAAACUUCAUCUAUAAACUGGAAUCAAACUUGUGAAGUCGAGCAUAAACAAAUGAAAAGGAAAUUGGAGAAAAAUGUAGAAGUUUUUUCUGUACUUACACUUAAUGGUUUAUUAUGAGAAUCCUGUAUUGGUGUAAAGUUUGUAUUGUCUCUUUUCAUCAGUCAUCUAUACAAUAGUCACUUACCAAUGUAAUUUGAAGAAUCAUCAACUGCAUUUGCCCCCUUUCCCCCACCCCUUUAGAACGGGGGUCAGAAGUCUGUUCUGGGAAAUGCCUUACUCUCGGAA